rnacentral:tRNA from 1 species
AAGAAUUUAGUUUAUUAAAAACAUUAAUUUGUCAAAUUAAAAAAAUUAAUUUUAAUAAUUCUUA